rnacentral:lncRNA from 1 species
CUUGAAGAGCCCAGAAGGAGAUUAAUGACAAUGUGAAUGAAACUGAAGCUGAACAACCUCCUUGCUGAGAUUCUUCUAAGGUCCUCCAAGGGGCUACAGCAACACGUUCAAAAGUCACAGGUUUUUUUCUUUAACUUGCAAAAGGAGAACCAUAAGGAUGAAACCACCGUGCUUGGUCUUGGGCCUUUUAGCUCUUGUAGCAUGUUUCUCGCCUGGUGAGAGUCAAAGAGGCCUCAGGGGACCAUAUCCACCUGGACCACAGCCACCUCCACCUCCUCCUCCACCACCUGUUCCUUUUGGCCCAGAACUUGUUCCACCCCCUCCUCCACCCAAUGGUCCAGGAAGAAUUCCACCACCCCCUCCUCCUUACGGCUCAGGUUAUCCAUAUCCACCUUUCUAACCAAGACCUUAUCCACCUGGACCUCCACUGUUCCCUGCAUAGCCUUCGAUUUAUCCUCCCUUCUUUAAUUCAGCACUUCAAAUAUUAACUCCUACAAUGGUCUCCACUACAACCACAAUGGACCCCACUUCUCCCACAACUACUGCUUCUACUACUCAGAAUACACAACUGCUUCUACGACCCAAACUGAAAAUUAUCAGAGCCUUUUAGAUAAAAUCCUUUCCAUUUUUGGAUGAAGAUGAAAUGUUCCAAAAGCUCUGAGCUUUGGGGAGAAACAAUCUUAGAAAGAAAUUGUAAAACAACUCACACAAACAUUACGCCAAGAAAGUGAAAAUAAAAAGUUGAGCAACAAUAUGAAACCUCUAGUGUUGUCAUAAGAGCCAAGAGUUUGUCCCCAGUUAUGCCACUCAAAUGAAGAUACUGCUGCCAGAAGUCUGGCCUUGUACCAUGAGGCCAAAAACGGUAAUUAGGGAAAAAUAUAGCAAGAUAGCUGGACUUGUACUUAGGAUGACGAAGCUAGAAGAGGAAGCAACGGGAUGCCCUCUUGAGUACCACAAUCCAUCAUACAACUACAAAACACAAAAUAACAUGUUAAUAAAUAUCAAAAUUAAAUAAUCUUAGCUUUCCCC